GCCAUUUAUACGUAAAUUUCCCGCGCUCUCCUCCAGCUCCCAAGUGUCCUGUGUCCACGGUCCACCUCCAUUUCCAGCGAGUUCUAGGGUUACGGUUUUCCGUCGCAAUUCCGACAAGAAAAAUGUUCUCCAGCCAGCCCGACGGUGGAGCCUCUCUUUCCGCCGGCGGGUUCAUGCGAUCUCAGGCCACCCAAAUCUCUGGCUCUAGCCUCUUCAAGAUGAGGAUGCCUAUCGCACGAGUGAUGACAAGCCCAGCUUCAUAAUUAAUGGGUUCGAUGCCACCAAUGCUCCCGCGGAUGGUGUCGAACAACGCAGAGAAGGCCACGGAUGUCACCUGGAUCGAUGUCAUCAGAUGGAGAUGGAUGGGGAGCAAACUGGAUGUGAUUUAACCCAGAAACUCCCACGAAAGCACGCCCCCUUCUGGGUUGAUUGUCAGCUGGAUGUCCACUUUAUGUGCAAAACUGAGUGUAAAAUUUGAAUGAUACUGGAGGUUCAUGUGUACACUUGAUAGAAGUUGCAUUUCUAUUCUAUGAUGGCAUUCAUGUGUGCACUUGACUGCAAAUAUGCUAUUAGAUGCACGUCUUUACAU